rnacentral:rRNA from 1 species
ACGGAAGGCAGCAGUGGGGGAUAUUGCACAAUGGGGGAAACCCUGAUGCAGCAACGCCGCGUGAAGGAAGAAGGUCUUCGGAUUGUAAACUUUUGUCCUCAGUGAAGAUAAUGACGGUAGCUGAGGAGGAAGCUCCGGCUAACUACGUGCCAGCAGCCGCGGUAAUACGUAGGGAGCGAGCGUUGUCCGGAUUUACUGGGCGUAAAGGGUGCGUAGGCGGACUGGCAAGUCAGUGGUGAAAACUAUGGGCUUAACCCAUAGACUGCCAUUGAAACUGUUGGUCUUGAGUGAAGUAGAGGCAGGCGGAAUUCCCGGUGUAGCGGUGAAAUGCGUAGAGAUCGGGAGGAACACCAGUGGCGAAGGCGGCCUGCUGGGCUUUAACUGACGCUGAGGCACGAAAGUGUGGGUAGCAAACAGGAUUAGAUACCCUGGUA